UUUUACUUCUUUGCUUGCCGUCUCCCUCUUGUGCGUCGGCGUGGCACUCGCACUAACACGCACCCGUGCACGUGCGCACGUGCACCGAUGCGAAAGCGAAACCAAGGGUUUAUUUGCUUACUAUUCUGUAACACUGUGAUGGCCGUUGCAGUUUCUACCUUUUUUUUUUGAUUAUUGUUUAUAUUUUCUUUGGUUGUGCUUGCCUCCGAACCUGUUCUUCCUGCGACUCGCUGAGCACUCACCGACCGACCGACCGACCUGCCCCCCUCCCCCUCCCCCUUACCUACCUACCCCUCCUCCUCUUGCUCUUCUUCUUGGUCGAGGCCGCUACCCUCGCCUUCUUUUUUUUUUUGGUCUUCCAUGCUGAGUACACAUCAACUCCGCAUGCUCUCGCACACAUAUAUGUAUCUAUAGCGCCAUUUCCCGGCCUCACUUGCUCGUUGGCCGAUGGGUGUGUGUGUGUGGGGGGGUUGAGGGGGGGGGUUCACUUCAGUUUGCGUUUGUUGUAGCAUGGAAAAAGUGCGCGAAAAGGAACACGAAGGCACGACCCCUUUCAAAGCACACGCGCACGUGAAAAGACAUACACAGCGGCAAGUAAGCCCCAAGAGGAAAGACGAGAAGGUUGCACCAGUGGUGGCAAUGACGGCGAUGACUGGUUCGCUGAGCAGCGCUGCUGUGCCAUUGGUAGGUGGGGGUAGCAGAUCAAAGAAGAGGCGGCCUGAAUGCUCUGUCACGCACAGACGCCUGCACCUAUUGCAAUGCAAGCACCUCGAAAGACGAACAGGCCAGCGUCCAAAGGGAGGCAGGCGUGAGGCGACACAAGAAAUGGCCUGCAACAAAUCAACGGGAAAAGAAAUAAACGCAAACAAAAAAAAACAAAGAGCAACGCUGCGAAGACAUCCGCAUGUGUGCACAUGCCUAUCGAUACGCGUGGAUGUGAAACUCGUCCACAUCGAAGACACAGAAAUGCACACACGCUCACAUCUGCGUUGAACGCAUGCCGAUUUUCCCCUUUUUCCUUUUUUUUUGUUGUCUACUUCCCCCUUUUUUUUGCCAUCUAUUCUUCGCUGAGCGCGUGAUUAUUUUGCAUGUGUCUGUGUGUAUGUGUGAAAGUGUGCAUCUGUGUGUCUGUUCUCUUUUUCUUUCCUUGUUCGCUCCUCUUUCUUUCUUUUCCCCGUUCUGUUCCUCCGCUUAUCUUCGCUUUCUGCGAAGCUUGUGCUUUUUCUUUGUUUUCUGCCGUUUUGGUGAGCAGGCUGCUCCCGUUCUCACGUCACAGAUGCGCGGUGUUGGGUAGGCAAGGAUAGUAAGAGAAUCAAAGUUGCGAGUGCACAUGUGCUCGAUGCUGACGAUGAUGCGGGCUCGACAGAGGAAAACGAAGGCGCACAUAUGUAGGAGCAAAAAUUGAUGUAUGUUACAGUCGUUCUGUGAGUGUGCAUGCGCUUCAAAUUGUUUCGAUGAUGGUGCGCAAAAACAGAGAGUUUCAAGAAUGUUUGUUCGGUUUUUUUUUUGUUUCGGCUACGAAGGGCGCAGAACGAUCUGUGCGCACGCAGCUGCACACGUACGCACGUCUCCUGUACAGCAGCAACAACGGUCAAGGGAAGGGUAAGGCUGAAUAAAAAGAACACAAGAACCCUCCGAAAAAAGAAAAGUGGAGGAGGCACUUCGCGGCGGUGAGGGUGCAUGGGCUAUGAUCCUAC
rnacentral:misc_RNA from 1 species